CCCUCCUCUCUCUCUCUCUCUCUCUAUCUAAUGAUCAUUAAAAGGAAAAGUAUGGAAAUAGAUGUGGAGAUUUCAGUUUCCAAAUCAAUAACAAACUGGAUUUAAAAUUCUAAAUCAAACCCAGCUCAGAGAUUGAUUGAUUGUUCUUUUUGCCUUCAAGUUGCUUCAUUCUUUAUCACCAAAAACUGUCAAAUGCAUAAGCAUCAUAUAGAUUGCCCAGAUUUCUGGGUUUGCUUGAGGAGGAGAAGAGAAGAUAGGGACAAAAAUGUCAGUUUAUAUGCAUUUAAUGUCUAAAGUAGCAAAAACCUAACAGAAGGACAAUCUAGUAUAACAGACUUAAAAUAUGAUGGUAUAACAAUUAAUUUAUUAAAAAAUAAAUGUAAAGUAAUUUUGUAUACAAAA